rnacentral:misc_RNA from 1 species
AUUGUAUAUACAAUUAUAUAUACAUGUAUAUCAUACAAUUCAGUGCAUAUGCAUAUAGGUGAAAACAAUAUAGUAAUUACUAUUCGUUCAUUUACGUUCAGGCGCAUAUGUUCAGGCGGGAAGAAAUUAAAACAUAUCCGAGGUACGCGUGGGAAGUGGGCAGUAUCGAUAAAAUAUAUGUAGAUUAGCAUAAUCGCAUCGCGGAUUGUUUAGAAAAAUGUCGUUACUCAGAGACAUAAUUCACGGCUCUCGAUGUCUCACAAUCACUAAAUUAUACAUAGCACUGAAUAGAUCAAGAUGCAAUUUCUCAAAAUUCAAAGAUGAUUCUAAGUUGAGAGCAUUCAAAGAAAAGCAGGCAAGAAUGCAGUGCGACGAUGGAUAUCCAAUAUAUCUAAAAAACGGUAUUUUGGACAUAAUAUUGUACCAUACUACAGUCGGGACCUGCAUUAUAGGCACUGGUCAAUCCUUGUGGUAUUUGUACACUCUAAGUAUCAAAUAAAUCAGCCAAUCAACGAUAUUAUUCUAUGAAUUAUCGUUCUGAGUUUGAUUUUUUGAAUGUUGCUUAAAAGAUAAUUCGUAAUUCACUCUUCAAGUAAUAAGGUUGCAUGAACCACUAAUGAUUCUUCAUUCAAAUAAAUACACAUUUACAGAAUCAUGAGCUUUUUUACUAUUUGCGUAACACAUAGCGAUACUCAACAUUUCACUUCACAUCUAUAUAUUUUGCAUAAUACGGUAGCUUUAGAGCUCACGCACAACAGGAUUUAGUAAGGUAAUUUUUAAGGCACUUCAAAAUGAGCCAAUCGAGUACCAAUGUUAGGAGUGCUUCCAUAUGAUAAACUCCAUUUUGCCAAGCGUUUGAUAACAAUUCUUGUAGAAGGAAACUUCUUGAUCAAUUCUGAUUGUAUCGUGUCAUAUGAACUCUAAAAAUGUACAAAGUAGGACCAGACUUCUAACAUUGGUACGCGGCAUAAUAUCAGCAUGACUUACAUUUAAAACUUUGGUAUCACAGAGAGAAAGGUAUGUAGUAUACAUAGAUCCCUGGCGCACUGCGCUCUUCUAAGGACAGUAAAUACCUACCCUACUCAUUAGUUAUAGAUCAAGUCUCAGACAUUCAAAGCCCUACUCUCAUCCUGCUGUUCUUUCUUGGUAUGUUUUUCAAACUUUAUUUCAUCAGCUUCAGUCAAAAUCUUCCCAUCAUCCAUAAGCGUUUCGCGUGGUCUUUUAUGCACGGAAACAGUGGGCGGUCUAUUUUCUGGACUUUCUAUAACAGGUACUUCAUCCAUUUGUGACAUCGACUUUCUGAUCACCUCAGGCUUCAAAUUAUCUUUCGUAAAACCGGACAGUGAAUCAUCUUCAUUGGAUAUUUG